rnacentral:sRNA from 1 species
UUCUAGUCCGCGUUAGGGAUAGCAGCGGAUAGCCCACAGCAAAGUGAAGUGAAACAAAACUUUGCGAGGACUUGAAGCGAAUAGCCCGACCCUUU